AACGACUCGCAGUUCGGUAGCGUACUUGACUGGGGGUCAAGUGGUCGCUGGUUCAAAUCCAGUCGUCCCGA
rnacentral:tRNA from 1 species